rnacentral:rRNA from 1 species
UACGGAGGGUGCAAACGUUGCUCGGAAUCAUUGGGCGUAAAGCGCACGUAGGCGGUUCGUUAAGUCGGAUGUGAAAGCCCUUGGCUCAACCGAGGAAGGGCAUCCGAAACUGGCGUGCUUGAGUAUGGAAGAGGGUCUCGGAAUUCCCGGUGUAGAGGUGAAAUUCGUAGAUAUCGGGAGGAACACCAGUGGCGAAGGCGGAGACCUGGGCCAAUACUGACGCUGAGGUGCGAAAGCGUGGGGAGCAAACAGG